rnacentral:rRNA from 1 species
UACGUAGGGUGCGAGCGUUAAUCGGAAUUACUGGGCGUAAAGCGUGCGCAGGCGGUUUUGUAAGCCAGAUGUGAAAUCCCCGGGCUUAACCUGGGAAUGGCAUUUGGGACUGCAAGGCUGGAGUUUGGCAGAGGAGACUGGAAUUCCCGGUGUAGCAGUGAAAUGCGCAGAUAUCAGGAGGAACACCGGUGGCGAAGGCGGGUCUCUGGGCCGUAACUGACGCUGAGGAGCGAAAGCGUGGGGAGCGAACAGG